ACUCAAAGGAAUUGACGGGGACCCGCACAAGCGGUGGAGCGUGUGGUUUAAUGCGACACUAAGCGAAGAACCUUACCCAGGUUUGACAUCCCGAGAAGCUCUCCGAAAGGAGAGCGUGCCGCAAGGAGCUCGGUGACAGGUGAUGCAUGGCCGUCGUCAGCUCGUGUCGUGAGAUGUUGGGUUAAGUCCCGCAACGAGCGCAACCCUUGUCGUGUGUUGGAUUUUUCACGCGAGACUGCCUGGGUUAACCAGGAGGAAGGUGGGGAUGACGUCAGGUCCGCAUGUCCCUUAUACCUGGGGCGACACACGCGCUACAAUGGGGCCGAUAAAGCGUCGCGAAAGCGUAAGCUGGAGCUAAUCGUCCAAACGGCCUCUCAGUUCGGAUUGGAGGCUGCAACUCGCCUCCAUGAAGCCGGAAUCGCUAGUAAACGUGGAUCAGCCAUGCUGCGUUGAAUACGUUCUCGGGUCUUGUACACACCGCCCGU
rnacentral:rRNA from 1 species